rnacentral:rRNA from 1 species
GGGGAAUAUUGCACAAUGGGCGCAAGCCUGAUGCAGCAACGCCGCGUGAGGGAUGACGGCCUUCGGGUUGUAAACCUCUUUUAGUAGGGAAGAAGCGAAAGUGACGGUACCUGCAGAAAAAGCACCGGCUAACUACGUGCCAGCAGCCGCGGUAAUACGUAGGGUGCAAGCGUUGUCCGGAAUUAUUGGGCGUAAAGAGCUCGUAGGCGGCUUGUCGCGUCUGCUGUGAAAACCCGGAGCUCAACUCCGGGCCUGCAGUGGGUACGGGCAGGCUAGAGUGCGGUAGGGGAGAUUGGAAUUCCUGGUGUAGCGGUGGAAUGCGCAGAUAUCAGGAGGAACACCGAUGGCGAAGGCAGAUCUCUGGGCCGUAACUGACGCUGAGGAGCGAAAGCAUGGGGAGCGAAC